rnacentral:rRNA from 1 species
AUGGACGCAAGUCUGAUGGAGCAACGCCGCGUGAGUGAAGAAGGGUUUCGGCUCGUAAAGCUCUGUUGUUAAAGAAGAACGUGGGUAAGAGUAACUGUUUACCCAGUGACGGUAUUUAACCAGAAAGCCACGGCUAACUACGUGCCAGCAGCCGCGGUAAUACGUAGGUGGCAAGCGUUAUCCGGAUUUAUUGGGCGUAAAGCGAGCGCAGGCGGUCUUUUAAGUCUAAUGUGAAAGCCUUCGGCUCAACCGAAGAAGUGCAUUGGAAACUGGGAGACUUGAGUGCAGAAGAGGACAGUGGAACUCCAUGUGUAGCGGUGAAAUGCGUAGAUAUAUGGAAGAACACCAGUGGCGAAGGCGGCUGUCUGGUCUGCAACUGACGCUGAGGCUCGAAAGCAUGGGUAGCGAACAGGAUUAGAUACCCUGGUAGUCCAUGCCGUAAACGAUGAUUACUAAGUGUUGGAGGGUUUCCGCCCUUCAGUGCUGCAGCUAACGCAUUAAGUAAUCCGCCUGGGGAGUACGACCGCAAGGUUGAAACUCAAAAGAAUUGACGGGGGCCCGCACAAGCGGUGGAGCAUGUGGUUUAAUUCGAAGCUACGCGAAGAACCUUACCAGGUCUUGACAUCUUCUGACAGUCUAAGAGAUUAGAGGUUCCCUUCGGGGACAGAAUGACAGGUGGUGCAUGGUUGUCGUCAGCUCGUGUCGUGAGAUGUUGGGUUAAGUCCCGCAACGAGCGCAACCCUUAUUACUAGUUGCCAGCAUUAAGUUGGGCACUCUAGUGAGACUGCCGGUGACAAACCGGA